rnacentral:rRNA from 1 species
UACGUAGGCAGCGAGCGUUGUUCGGAGUUACUGGGCGUAAAGGGUGUGUAGGCGGUUGUUUAAGUUUGGUGUGAAAUCUCCCGGCUCAACUGGGAGGGUGCGCCGAAUACUGAAUGACUAGAGUGCGGGAGAGGAAAGUGGAAUUCCUGGUGUAGCGGUGAAAUGCGUAGAUAUCAGGAGGAACACCGGUGGUGUAGACGGCUUUCUGGACCGUAACUGACGCUAAGACACGAAAGCGUGGGUAGCAAACAGG